CACGAAGGGGGCUAGCGUUGCUCGGAAUCACUGGGCGUAAAGGUGCGUAGGCGGGUUUUAAGUCAGGGGUGAAAUCCUGGAGCUCAACUCCAGAACUGCCUUUGAUACUGAAGAUCUUGAGUUCGGGAGAGGUGAGUGGAACUGCGAGUGUAGAGGUGAAAUUCGUAGAUAUUCGCAAGAACACCAGUGGCGAAGGCGGCUCACUGGCCCCGAUACUGACGCUGAGGCACGAAAAGCGUGGGGAGCAAACAGGG
rnacentral:rRNA from 1 species